UAGGCGGGUAGUUAAGUCAGAAGUGAAAUCCAAUAGCUCAACUAUUGAACUGCUUUUGAAACUGAUUACCUAGAAUAUGGGAGAGGUAGAUGGAAUUUCUGGUGUAGGGGUAAAAUCCGUAGAGAUCAGAAGGAAUACCGAUUGCGAAGGCGAUCUACUGGAACAUUAUUGACGCUGAGACGCGAAAGCGUGGGGAGCAAACAGGAUUAGAUACCCUGGUAGUCCACGCCCUAAACGAUGUACACUAGUUGUUGUGAGGCUCGACCUUGCAGUAAUGCAGCUAACGCUUUAAGUGUACCGCCUGGGGAGUACGGUCGCAAGAUUAAAACUCAAAGGAAUAGACGGGGACCCGCACAAGCGGUGGAGCAUGUGGUUUAAUUCGACGAUACACGAAGAACCUUACCUGGACUUGACAUAGUAAGAACUUUCUAGAGAUAGAUUGGUGUCUGCUUGCAGAAACUUAUAUACAGGUGCUGCACGGCUGUCGUCAGCUCGUGUCGUGAGAUGUUGGGUUAAGUCCCGCAACGAGCGCAACCCUCGUCAUUAGUUGCUAACAGUUCGGCUGAGAACUCUAAUGAGACUGCCUACGCAAGUAGGAGGAAGGUGAGGACGACGUCAAGUCAUCAUGGCCCUUACGUCCAGGGCUACACACGUGCUACAAUGGGGUAUACAAAGAGCAGCAAUACGGUGACGUGGAGCAAAUCUCAAAAAUAUCUCCCAGUUCGGAUUGUAGUCUGCAACUCGACUACAUGAAGUUGGAAUCGCUAGUAAUCGUAGAUCAGCUAUGCUACGGUGAAUACGUUCCCGGGUC
rnacentral:rRNA from 1 species